rnacentral:tRNA from 1 species
UCCCUCGUGGCUCAGAUGGUAAAGCGUCUGCCUACAAUGCAGGAGACCCCAGGUUCGAUCCCUGGGUUGGGAA